rnacentral:tRNA from 1 species
GCCGCCUUAGCUCAGUUGGUAGAGCAGCAGACUGAAAAUCUGCGUGUCUGCGGUUCAAUUCCGCGAGGCGGCA